rnacentral:rRNA from 1 species
AGUGAACGCUGGCGGUAGGCCUAACACAUGCAAGUCGAACGGCAGCACAGUAAGAGCUUGCUCUUACGGGUGGCGAGUGGCGGACGGGUGAGGAAUACAUCGGAAUCUACUUUUUCGUGGGGGAUAACGUAGGGAAACUUACGCUAAUACCGCAUACGACCUACGGGUGAAAGCAGGGGAUCUUCGGACCUUGCGCGAUUGAAUGAGCCGAUGUCGGAUUAGCUAGUUGGCGGGGUAAAGGCCCACCAAGGCGACGAUCCGUAGCUGGUCUGAGAGGAUGAUCAGCCACACUGGAACUGAGACACGGUCCUGACUCCUACGGGAGGCAGCAGUGGGGAAUAUUGGACAAUGGGCGCAAGCCUGAUCCAGCCAUACCGCGUGGGUGAAGAAGGCCUUCGGGUUGUAAAGCCCUUUUGUUGGGAAAGAAAAGCAGCAGGUUAAUACCCCGCUGUUCUGACGGUACCCAAAGAAUAAGCACCGGCUAACUUCGU